rnacentral:misc_RNA from 1 species
GAUGAAGAACGUAGUGAAAUGCGAUAAGUAGUGUGAAUUGCAGAAUUCAGUGAAUCAUCGAAUCUUUGAACGCACAUUGCGCCCCUUGGUAUUCCAUGGGGCAUGCCUGUUCGAGCGUCAUUUGUACCCUCAAGCACUGCUUGGUGUUGGGUGUUUGUCCCGCUUUGCGCGUGGACUCGCCUUAAAGCAAUUGGCAGCCGGCAGAUUGGCCUGGAUCGCGAGCACAUUUUGCGACCUUGUCAUAACUGUUUGGCACCCAUCAAGACUAUUUUUUGCUCUUGACCUCGGAUCAGGUAGGGAUACCCGCUGAACUUAAGCAUAUCAAUAAGCGGAGGA